GCAAACUUGGUCAUUUAGAGGAAGUAAAAGUCGUAACAAGGUCUCCGUUGGUGAACCAGCGGAGGGAUCAUUACCGAGUUUACAACUCCCAAACCCAAUGUGAACGUUACCAAACUGUUGCCUCGGCGGGAUCUCUGCCCCGGGCGCGUCGCAGCCCCGGACCAAGGCGCCCGCCGGAGGACCAACCCAAAACUCUUUAUGUAUACCCCCUCGCGGGUUUUUUUACUUCUGAGACUUUCUCGGCGCCCCUAGCGGGCGUUUCGAAAAUGAAUCAAAACUUUCAACAACGGAUCUCUUGGUUCUGGCAUCGAUGAAGAACGCAGC
rnacentral:misc_RNA from 1 species